rnacentral:rRNA from 1 species
UAGAUGCGAGAGUAGAGCAUAUCAAUAAGCGGAGGAAAAGAAACUAACUAGGAUUCCCUCAGUAACGGCGAGUGAAGCGGGAAGAGCUCAAAUUUGAAAUCUUCAAGGUUUUACCUUGACGAAUUGUAGUUUAAAGAAGUGUUUUCUGUUGGUGUCUUGGUAAAAGUUCUUUGGAAUAGGACAUCAUAGAGGGUGAGAAUCCCGUAUUUGACCAUUACUUCCAGCGUUGUGAUACACUUUCAAAGAGUCGGAUUGUUUGGGAAUGCAGUCCAAAAUGGGUGGUAAAUUUCAUCUAAAGCUAAAUAUUGGCGAGAGACCGAUAGCGAACAAGUACCGUGAGGGAAAGAUGAAAAGAACUUUGAAAAGAGAGUUAAACAGUACGUGAAAUUGUCAAAAGGGAAGCGUUUGACACCAGUGUUGUUUUCUCGAAAAUCAAUUAAAAAUGACCGGAUUUUGUGUUGUAUUGACUUUAUCAGCUUUCUGCACUUUUUUCUUGUCUUUUUUAAUGCACUUUUCGUUUAACAAGUCAACAUCAAUUUCUUUUGUUGUAAAAGAGACAUUGGAAGGUGGCUUUCUUUUCGGAGAAAGUGUUUAUAGCCUUUGGCUUCUGCAAUCGGAGAGAUUGAGGUCUGCAGCGUAGAUCCUUCGGGGUUAGAUACAUUUGUGCUAAGUUAUAGCCUUUCAUAGACAACUUGUUGACUAUGAUCAGUCAUGUAGCUUACUCGCUUAUGUCAUUUUACCUACGCUUAGGAUGUUGAUAGUCACAGCGUGUAC